GAUGAACGCUAGCUACAGGCUUAACACAUGCAAGUCGAGGGGGAGCAGGGUAGCAAUACCGCUGACGACCGGCGCACGGGUGAGUAACACGUAUCCAACCUUCCCAUAACUCGGGGAUAGCCUUUCGAAAGAAAGAUUAAUACCCGAUAGUACUAUUUCAAGGCAUCUUGAGAAAGUUAAAGAUUUAUUGGUUCUGGAUGGGGAUGCGUUACAUUAGAUAGUUGGUGAGGUAACGGUUAACCAAGUCUUCGAUGGGUAGGGGUUCUGAGAGGAAGGUCCCCCACAUUGGUACUGAGACAAGGACCAAACUCCUACGGGAGGCAGCAGUGAGGAAUAUUGGUCAAUGGGCGAGAGCCUGAACCAGCCAAGUAGCGUGAAGGAUGAAGGUCCUAUGGAUUGUAAACUUCUUUUAUAGUAGAAUAAAGUGAUCCACGUGUGGAUUUUUGUAUGUAUACUAUGAAUAAGGAUCGGCUAACUCCGUGCCAGCAGCCGCUGUAACAC
rnacentral:rRNA from 1 species